GAGAGAAGGCAGGGCUGAAAUACGGCGUGGCCAUGGCGCAGGCUCCUUCCCAAAGCUUGGCACAGCAGGGUGGUUGAAUUUCCCAUGGGUCAAAAGAAUGCUGAGGAAGGUACUGGGCCUGGGCUGACUUGCUGCGCCCCCCUCUGCCGCCUGAAAAAAGCCACCCUCUGGAUGAGGGUCUCCAGCAACAAGGGUUUGUGAGUUUCUUUAGGUAUGAAGAUCAUUCAGCUAUUCAUUCACCAAGCACUUGUUGAUCAUAGCCAAGAACCACAUAUUGUGCUAAACUUGGGAGAAUCAAAGAGGAACAAUAUGAUAUUCCUGUCUUCGAAGACUUUGUGAUUUAGUUGGAGAGAUGUAUGUACAAGAAAAUCAUUUAUGGCCGGGUGCAGUGGCUCAAGCCUGUAAUCCCAGCACUUGGGAGGCUGAGAAGGGCAGAUCACGAGGUCAGGAGAUCGAGACCAUCCUGGCUAACACGGUUGAAAAAGUCCAAGAUUUGCAGUCUGCAAGUUAGAGACCCAGGAGAGCCAAUGUCCAGUUGCAGUCUGAGUCCAAAGGCCUGAGAACCAUAAGAGCUGAUGGUAUAAGUUCCAGUCCAAAAGCCAGCAGGCUUGAAACCCAAGAAGAGCUGAUGUUUCGGUACAAGACUGAAGGUGACUGAGGCCAAACCAGUAUGGGAGCUCCUUCGAAAAACCCAGCGAGGGCCAGGAAGGCCAGACAAGUGGACUUUCAUUGCAGGGUGCCUUCAGUGCUGCUGUCAGAGGAGCAUCCUUCUGUGAGCCUUGGUUUUCCUUCUGCAAACUGGCUAAGAGCUGCAGAGCACUCGACACCCAGAACCACAGUGUGCCUUCACAAUGAACAGAAAGCUGCAGUUUCCUCCUCUGUAUUCUUUGUCCACUCCCACUCGCUUCAUAUGCCCCACUGACCCAGGUAUGAGAAACCCGGCCUCCCAAAGUGUUGGGAUUAUAGGCAGGAGCCACUGUGCCUGAGCUCACUGUGGUUUUGAUUUGCAUUUCUCUAAUGUCAGUGAUGUUGAGUUGUUUUCAUAUGUUUGUUGGCUACAUGAAUGUCUUCUUUUGAGAAGUGUCUGUUCAUAUCCUUUGCUCACUUUUUAAUGGGGUGGUUUUCUUCUUGUAAAUUUGUUGGAGUUCCUUGUAGACUCUGGAUAUGAGACCUUUGUCAGAUCACUGAGAGUUUCUGAGCAAUGUGGUGGUGGGUUGUAUGUAGAUGAAUUUGAAGCGGAAGAGACCUGUGACAGAGAGACCAGAUUAGAGCUACUGCAGUGAUUAGGUGGUGGAGGCCUGUAAACAGGUGUAUGUGGCACUUUAUGUACAGGUACACUGUGGAUACAGAAUUGAUGGGACUUAGCAACUGCUUGGGUACAAAAGGGACAAGGACAAAAGAGAAGGAGUUGUUAAACAACAAUGCCUUGGGUUAACCUGGGGUGAGCAUGUGGAUGGUGUCAUUUGUAGAGCCAGAGAAAGAGUAGACGAGGAAGAGAAAAGGGGAACAGGAGUGGGAGGAGGAGGAGAAUAGAAUGGGAAAAUAUGAGAUCUGAGUGGCUGCAUUUUGGAGGAGCUGGUGGAGCUGCCCAGAGGCUGCUGAAAUCUGGAACUAGAGUUCAGAGGAGAGGUUAGGGUGAGGGACAGAGUAGAAUUGGAAAUAGUCCCUAAGUGUGUUGAAUAUAUCCAAUUUAGUUUCUUUCUAAAGGAAAAUCCUUAGUCCUUUUCUAGAAGGCAUUGUAAAAUCAGCCUCUGAAAUUCUGCCCUACUAAACUUGUUUUCUUCUAGGAAGUGACAAAAUUGCAGCCCCUGAAGAGCAGGAGAAUCCUGGACUCUAUGGCUUCCUCCUGCUGUUUGCAACUGCAUUUGAUUCCACUUUUGUGUGUUUUCCCUUUUUCGUGAUUAAUAUUUGCUGGAAAUAUAUUGAUUUUUCAGUCUUUUCAAGAAAACUGCUCUUGGGCGUAUGUCUCAAUUAUACUGCUUUUAUGUUUCCUCAUUUAAUUCUUUAUUGAAGCUUUUAUCUGUUUUUCUCUUUAUUUUUAUUUGCUACCCCUUCCCUUGAAUUUUAAAUUUAUUUGUUGAUCCAUUAAUUGUAUCUUUUGGUAAUAAAAACAUUUCAAGCUA
rnacentral:lncRNA from 1 species